GACGUAGGGCGCGAGCGUUGUCCGGAUUUAUUGGGCGUAAAGAGCUCGUAGGCGGCUUGUCGCGUCGAAUGUGAAAACCUGCAGCUCAACUGCAGGCUUGCAUUCGAUACGGGCAGGCUCGAGUUCGGUAGGGGAGACUGGAAUUCCUGGUGUAGCGGUGAAAUGCGCAGAUAUCAGGAGGAACACCGGUGGCGAAGGCGGCGAUCUGGGGUCGAUACUGACGCUGAGGUGCGAAAAGCGUGGGGGAGCAAACAGG
rnacentral:rRNA from 1 species